GAUGAACGCUGGCGGCGUGCCUAAUACAUGCAAGUCGAACGAACAGAUUAUGAGCUAGCUCCUCUGACGUUAGCGGCGGACGUGUGAGUGACAGGUUGAUAACCUACCUAUAAGACUGGGAUAAGUUCGUGAAACCGGAGCUAAUACCGUAUAAUAUCUUAAAACUCAUUGUUCAAUAGUAAAUGACGGUUUUGUUGUAACUCAUAACUGCAACCUCGCCGAAUUAGGUAGUUGGUAAGGUAACGGCUUACCAAGGCAACAUUGCGUAACCGACCUGGGAGGGGGUCCGGCACAACUGGACCUGGGAACCGGCCCAGAUUCCUAGGGGAGGAAGCAGUAGGGAAUCUUCGGCAUUGGGCGAAAGCCUGACGGAGAAACGCCGCGUGAGUGAUGAAGGUCUUCGGAUCGUAAACCUUUGUUAUUAGGGAAGAACAAAUGUGUAAGUAAAUAUGCACGUUUUGACGGUACCUAACCAGAAAGCCACGGCUAACUACGUG
rnacentral:rRNA from 1 species